UACGUAGGGGGCAAGCGUUGUCCGGAUUUAUUGGGCGUAAAGAGCGUGUAGGCGGCUGGGUAGGUCCGUUGUGAAAACUCGAGCUCAACCUCGAGACGCCGAUGGAAACCCUCCAGCUAGAGUCCGGAAGAGGAGAGUGGAAUUCCUGGUGUAGCGGUGAAAUGCGCAGAUAUCAGGAAGAACACCCGUGGCUAAGGCGGCUCUCUAGU
rnacentral:rRNA from 1 species